rnacentral:rRNA from 1 species
GCGGGGGCAUUCUGGUAGCAAUACUGGGGUGCUCUAGUGGCGAACGGGUGAGUAACGCGUGAGCAACCUACCUUCCAGAGGGGGAUAACACAGGGAAACCUGUGCUAAUACCGCAUAACGUACGAUAGGGGCAUCCUUAUUGUACCAAAGGAGCAAUCCGCUGGGAGAUGGGCUCGCGUCCGAUUAGGUAGUUGGCGGGGUAACGGCCCACCAAGCCGACGAUCGGUAGCCGGGCUGAGAGGUCGGCCGGCCACAUUGGGACUGAGACACGGCCCAGACUCCUACGGGAGGCAGCAGUGGGGAAUAUUAGGCAAUGGGCGAAAGCCUGACCUAGCGACGCCGCGUGAGGGAAGACGGCCUUCGGGUUGUAAACCUCUGUUGUACGGGACGAAGCGAGUGACGGUACCGUAAGAGGAAGCCACGGCUAACUACGUGCCAGCAGCCGCGGUAAUACGUAGGUGGCGAGCGUUAUCCGGAUUUACUGGGUGUAAAGGGUGAGUAGGCGGGGGAGCAAGUCAGGAGUGAAAGUCAUGGGCUCAACCCAUGAAUUGCUUUUGAAACUGCUCUUCUUGAGUGCCGGAGAGGUAAACGGAAUUCCCGGUGUAGCGGUGAAAUGCGUAG